AUCCAGUGUUCCGUCUCUUAUUGC
rnacentral:siRNA from 1 species